UACGUAGGGUGCAAGCGUUGUCCGGAAUUAUUGGGCGUAAAGAGCUCGUAGGCGGUUUGUCGCGUCUGCUGUGAAAACUCGGGGCUUAACCCCGGGCCUGCAGUGGGUACGGGCAGACUAGAGUGCGGUAGGGGAGACUGGAAUUCCUGGUGUAGCGGUGAAAUGCGUAGAUAUCGGGAGGAACACCAGUGGCGAAGGCGGCUUCCUGGCCUGUUCUUGACGCUGAGGCGCGAAAGCUAGGGUAGCAAACGGG
rnacentral:rRNA from 1 species